CACGUAGGGACCGAGCGUUGUCCGGAUUUAUUGGGCGUAAAGAGCUCGUAGGCGGUCGUGUAAGUCGGGUGUGAAAUCUCCGGGCUCAACUCGGAGGGGCCACCCGAUACUGCACAACUUGAGUCCGGUAGGGGAGUGGGGAAUUCCUGGUGUAGCGGUGAAAUGCGCAGAUAUCAGGAAGAACACCCGUGGCGAAGGCGGCUCUCUGGGACGGUACUGACGCUGAGACGCGAAAGCGUGGGGAGCGAACAGG
rnacentral:rRNA from 1 species